rnacentral:rRNA from 1 species
GACGAACGCUGGCGGCGUGCUUAACACAUGCAAGUCGAACGGAAAGGCCCUGCUUUUGUGGGGUGCUCGAGUGGCGAACGGGUGAGUAACACGUGAGUAACCUGCCCUUGACUUUGGGAUAACUUCAGGAAACUGGGGCUAAUACCGGAUAGGAGCUCCUGCUGCAUGGUGGGGGUUGGAAAGUUUCGGCGGUUGGGGAUGGACUCGCGGCUUAUCAGCUUGUUGGUGGGGUAGUGGCUUACCAAGGCUUUGACGGGUAGCCGGCCUGAGAGGGUGACCGGCCACAUUGGGACUGAGAUACGGCCCAGACUCCUACGGGAGGCAGAAGUGGGGAAUAUUGCACAAUGGGAGGAAGCCUGAUGCAGCAACGCCGCGUGCGGGAUGACGGCCUUCGGGUUGUAAACCGCUUUCGCCUGUGACGAAGCGUGAGUGACGGUAAUGGGUAAAGAAGCACCGGCUAACUACGUG